rnacentral:lncRNA from 1 species
UGCCAGGUGCUCCAGCGACCCAAAUGAUCCAUCGGCCCCUGGGGGCCCACAUGGUGUCUCCUGGCCGCCUCCGACCAGCGUCCAACCCUCGGUGUGGACGCUGCAGGGAGGUGGCCAGGCCUGACUCUGCUCAGAAUUGCUGUGCUGCAGCCUCUCCGUGGCGGUUUGGAGGACAACGUGGAGCAGAGAGAACUUGCUACUGGCUUCUUCAAGUCCUCGUGCUCCUGAGCCCAAGCCUGGAGUUCUGUGGGAGUUUCACCCCACAUGUGUCUCUCUCAAGAGUAUAUUUACACAUUUGUGUUGUGUCUGGUGCUAGCAAAACAAGGGGAAGACAAAACAGUGACAAUCUCUUCAUAGUUAAGGCCAGUGCUGCUCCGUUUCUUUCCGGAAAUAUUUGGGUCAGGGCUGCAAAAGGGGUUUUUUGGGAAGCUGUUUGUUUUAAAGGUGGAGUUUCUAAGGCAGCUGCGUUGCUUCUCACCUUGUUGUAGUUUUAGAUUUCCUGUGCAUUUUGGAAUGGCUUGGCUGGAAUCCAGUGCCUGUUGUUGUGGGAUUGGAGACCCUAAGGAGAAUUACAUGUGUGGAAUUCAGUUGUGUAUGAGGCAAAAAUAGAGUUGAUUAUUUUAACAUUAGGAAGCCAGGCCUGGGAACACCAGGCUAAUGUGGUAAUCCAGUCCUAAAAUGGAAGGAAAGGGAGGAAUCUUUUGGGGCACUAUUUUGACUGUUCUCGGUGUCCUGAUUUUCUAUGUUAGAUCUAUGCUUCAUGAAGUUUGAAGUGAGGGCAAUAAGUCAGCGGCUAAUUAUUUUUCCUGAUUGCUUCCUGUUGCAAUUUGAAGCUGUGAGCCCACGGAAAUCCCUUUGUUCUAGUGGUCCGGGUGUAGAGAGUGGCAUUCCCCUCUGGGAGGGCCCAGUGGGCAUAUGUUAGCAUAGGUUAACUCAGAGCUGUGGGGUCCCCUCCAUAGUAGGGCCCAUGUGCCUUGAUCCUACCAGUUCAAGAAAUUACCUAGUCAACUAAUAUGAUCCAGCAUUUGCUUAGCGCUCCUUGGGGGAGAUCUACCUCAUGGUUCCUGUAGUAUUUGAACCUGUUUAAUUUUUGGCUGCGUGGUAUCACUGCUCAGGCAUUUAGCAGAAUUCACACAUGCACAUGGGAGUUGGGCUCAGUCAGGUAAGGACUGGCUACUGCUCUCUGCCUUGCAGCAUUGGGCUGCCAGCACAGGGGCUUUUGGGUCAGCUAUGCACAGUUGCUGGGUUUACAGGCACAGUUGCUGUUUGACUUUGGGUGACUUGUUAGCCUCUCUUUGGUAUCCUUAUGUACCUCCUCCUCUCCAGGUGAUGGGGAGCUGUGCUGGACCCGCAGCACCAUCCCUGGCCCAGGUGAGGGAUGGUAGUGGCAGAGCUGCAGAGACUUGAUCUUUUUGGUGCUGAGGUCCACAGGCCAUUAUGACAGUCUAGACUUUUCUUCUGGGUGUGACCUUGGGUAUCCUGUCCACUGAGUGAUGCAUUUAUUGCUGCAGUGCCGGAAGGGGAUUCAGAAGUACUGUAGUUAGCAGCGUGGACAGAGUCCUGGCCCUGCCACUUGCCACACGGAAAGCUUGGGCCACUGACCCCAUCUUCGUGUGCCUUGCUUUUCUCUCCUGUGACAUGGGGAUGACGAUCAUCUUACCACUGUCUCUGCUAGUUAAUGCUGAGCUGAGGCCGGCCUUGUUUUCAGCCCUUGUUAUCAUGGAUUUUUCUUUAUGUAUCUGGUACCAUGUUAAGUGUGGGGGACAAAAUGGAGUAGGGGGACGGAUAGGGCCAGUCCCUGCUGCCAGGGCUCUCCGUGUAGAAGUUUGGUCAUCGGGAGGUGUGUCCUCACCCACAGCGUGUCCUGCCGGAGGUCCCAGAGCCCUGUCCUCAAGCGCAGGUGAUCUCUGCUGAAGGAGACCAGCUCCUGUGGCAGAGUCUGACUGUGACCCAGAAAGUGAUGGAAAUUUCUGGAAGACUUCAGGCAGGGCGAUCAGAGAUGUAGGCUAGGGCAGGACUGUCCUAGGUGAAAAGUAUGGAAUUGAUUGUUUGUUUUCAAAAUUAAGGUGAAACUUGCAAAAUAUAAAUUAAACAUUUGAAAGUAUGCAGUUCAUAGGCAUUUAGCGUAUUUAGAAUGCCUCAAAAAACUGUAACCAUUAAACAGUGAUUUCCCUUGCCUGUUCUAGAAUCUCUGUUCUGUCUCUUUAGAUCUGUCUGUGCUGAACAUUUCCUGUAAAUUGGUUUUAUUUAUUUAUUUUUGAGGUGUGCUCCCCUCUCCCAUGUUGCCCAGACUGGUUUCAGAUUCUUGGGCUCAAGUGAUCUUCCUGCCUCAGCCUCCCAAAUAGCUGGGCCAAAAGAUAUGCAUUGUGGUUCCUGGCUGCAUUUCCUAUAAAUGGAUUGUACAAUACUUUCUUUCUUUUCUUUUCUUUUUUUAAAAUUCACAACAAAUUGUAUCCUCAGCCUUUUUAAAUUUAAUUUAUUUUAUUAUUAUUAUUAUUUUUUUUGAGUUAGAGUCUUGCUAAGUCCUGAAGUUGGCCAGCCUGGGCUCAAACUUUCAAUCCUCUUGCUUCUGCCUCCCACAGUGCUGGGAUUACAGGUGUGCACCACUCUUUCUAGCAGUGUGUCUGAUUUCCUUAUGUGGCAUAAUGUUUGGUGGUGUUUGUCAGUAUUUCCAUUCUUUUUGUGGCUGAAUAAUAUUCCGUUGUGUGGAUAUACCCCACUUUGCCUAUCCAUUCAUCUUCCAGUUGAAUUGAUCUCAAUUUGUUCCUUCUUUCACUGACAGCAUAUGGGGACCAAAAUGUCCUAGUGGAGUAGGAAAGAGGCAAGAUUUGGUCUUAAAUCCUCCUGGUGAGGUUCAGAAACAUGACAGGCAACGGGAACAAGCUAGAGAGCCAGUGCUGCACUUGGGAGAGGAGGGCCAGGGGCCAGGGCUGGGAGAGGAGUGAAUGCUCUGUUCUGCCACCCAGAAAUCCCAAGGGUGCUGGACGUUGUGGCAUAGAAGGCUUCAUGGAAGAUCACUUAACACAGUCUCAAAAUGGGAAGUCUGGAGGGCAGACCCUGGGGAGCUGGGGGGCUGUGUCCAGCACCUUGGCUUCAUGGCUCUGUUUACACAUUUGUUUAGAAAGCAGCAGCAUGUGGGUUCCAAGCCAAAUGCCCUGCAGGGU